rnacentral:rRNA from 1 species
ACUGCUUCGGAGUUAGUGGCGGACGGGUGAGUAACACGUGGGAACGUGCCUUUAGGUUCGGAAUAACUCAGGGAAACUUGUGCUAAUACCGAAUGUGCCCUUCGGGGGAAAGAUUUAUCGCCUUUAGAGCGGCCCGCGUCUGAUUAGCUAGUUGGUGAGGUAAAGGCUCACCAAGGCGACGAUCAGUAGCUGGUCUGAGAGGAUGAUCAGCCACAUUGGGACUGAGACACGGCCCAAACUCCUACGGGAGGCAGCAGUGGGGAAUCUUGCGCAAUGGGCGAAAGCCUGACGCAGCCAUGCCGCGUGAAUGAUGAAGGUCUUAGGAUUGUAAAAUUCUUUCACCGGGGACGAUAAUGACGGUACCCGGAGAAGAAGCCCCGGCUAACUUCGUGCCAGCAGCCGCGGUAAUACGAAGGGGGCUAGCGUUGCUCGGAAUUACUGGGCGUAAAGGGAGCGUAGGCGGACAUUUAAGUCAGGGGUGAAAUCCCGGGGCUCAACCUCGGAAUUGCCUUUGAUACUGGGUGUCUUGAGUAUGAGAGAGGUGUGUGGAACUCCGAGUGUAGAGGUGAAAUUCGUAGAUAUUCGGAAGA